rnacentral:tRNA from 1 species
GGCGUCGUGGCCGAGUGGUGAGGCAGAGGUCUGCAAAACCUUUUACGCGGGUUCGAUUCCCGCCGACGCCU